ensembl:snRNA U6 U6 spliceosomal RNA
GCGGGCUCACAUCUACUAAAAUUGGAAUGCCACAGAGAUUAGCAUGGCCCCUGUGCAAAAUGAAAAUUCAUUAUGCAUUCCAAAAAUAA